UACGUAGGUGACUAGCGUUGUCCGGAUUUACUGGGCGUAAAGAGCGCGCAGGCGGUCGAUUUAGUCGAGUGUGAAAGCCCCCGGCUCAACUGGGGAGGGUCACUCGAUACUGAUCGACUCGAAGGCGGGAGAGGGAAGCGGAAUUCCCGGUGUAGUGGUGAAAUGCGCAGAUAUCGGGAAGAACACCCGUGGCGAAGGCGGCACUCUGGGACGGUACUGACGCUGAGACGCGAAAGCGUGGGGAGCGAACAGG
rnacentral:rRNA from 1 species